CAGUUUGAGUCGGUUACACAGUAAGAUCAUCUGGUUAGAUUAUACAGAUGUACAGGUACAGUUUGAGUCCGUUAGACAGUAAGAUCAUCUGGUUAGAUUAUACAGAUGUACAGGUACAGUUUGAGUCGGUUACACAUAAGAUCAUCUUGUUAGAUUAUACAGAUGUACAGAUGUACAGGUACAGUUUGAGUCGGUUACACAGUAAGAUCAUCUUGUUAGAUUAUACAGAUGUACAGGUACAGUUUGAGUCGGUUACACAGUAAGAUCAUCUUGUUAGAUUAUACAGAUGUACAGAUGUACAGGUACAGUUUGAGUCGGUUACACAGUAAGAUCAUCUUGUUAGAUUAUACAGAUGUACAGGUACAGUUUGAGUCGGUUACACAGUAAGAUCAUCUUGUUAGAUUAUACAGAUGUACAGAUGUACAGGUACAGUUGGAGUCGGUUACACAGUAAGAUCAUCUUGUUAGAUUAUACAGAUGUACAGAUGUACAGGUACAGUUUGAGUCGGUUACACAGUAAAUUCAUCUUGUUAGAUUAUACAGAUGUACAGAUGUACAGGUACAGUUUGAGUCGGUUAGACAGUAAGAUCAUCUUGUUAGAUUAUACAGAUGUACAGAUGUACAGGUACAGUUUGAGUCGGUUACACAGUAAGAUCAUCUUGUUAGAUUAUACAGAUGUACAGGUACAGUUUGAGUCGGUUACACAGUAAAUUCAUCUUGUUAGAUUAUACAGAUGUACAGAUGUACAGAUACAGUUUGAGUCGGUUACACAGUAAGAUCAUCUUGUUAGAUUAUACAGAUGUACAGAUGUACAGGUACAGUUUGAGUCGGUUACACAGUAAGAUCAUCUUGUUAGAUUAUACAGAUGUACAGGUACAGUUUGAGUCGGUUAGACAGUAAGAUCAUCUUGUUAGAUUAUACAGAUGUACAGGUACAGUUUGAGUCGGUUACACAGUAAGAUCAUCUUGUUAGAUUAUACAGAUGUACAGGUACAGUUUGAGUCGGUUACACAGUAAGAUCAUCUGGUUAGAUUAUACAGAUGUACAGGUACAGUUUGAGUCGGUUACACAGUAAGAUCAUCUUGUUAGAUUAUACAGAUGUACAGGUACAGUUUGAGUCGGUUAGACAGUAAGAUCAUCUUGUUAGAUUAUACAGAUGUACAGAUGUACAGGUACAGUUUGAGUCGGUUACACAGUAAGAUCAUCUUGUUAGAUUAUACAGAUGUACAGGUACAGUUUGAGUCGGUUACACAGUAAGAUCAUCUUGUUAGAUUAUACAGAUGUACAGAUGUACAGGUAGUUUGAGUCGGUUACACAGUAAGAUCAUCUUGUUAGAUUAUACAGAUGUACAGAUGUACAGGUACAGUUUGAGUCGGUUACACAGUAAGAUCAUCUUGUUAGAUUAUACAGAUGUACAGAUGUACAGGUACAGUUUGAGUCGGUUACACAGUAAGAUCAUCUUGUUAGAUUAUACAGAUGUACAGAUGUACAGGUACAGUUGGAGUCGGUUACACAGUAAGAUCAUCUUGUUAGAUUAUACAGAUGUACAGGUACAGUUUGAGUCGGUUACACAGUAAGAUCAUCUUGUUAGAUUAUACAGAUGUACAGGUACAGUUUGAGUCGGUUACACAGUAAGAUCAUCUUGUUAGAUUAUACAGAUGUACAGAUGUACAGGUACAGUUGGAGUCGGUUACACAGUAAGAUCAUCUUGUUAGAUUAUACAGAUGUACAGAUGUACAGGUACAGUUUG